GCCCGGGUGGCGAAAUCGGUAGACGCAGGGGAUUCAAAAUCCCCCGCCGCAAGGCGUGUCGGUUCGAGUCCGACCCCGGGCACCA
rnacentral:tRNA from 6 species